GUUGUUGUGGCUGAGUGGUUAAGGUAAUGACUUGAAAUCCAUUGGGGUCUCCCUGCAAAGGUUUGAAUUCUGCCAACAACA
rnacentral:tRNA from 1 species